AUACGGAGGGUCCGAGCGUUAUCCGGAAUUAUUGGGUUUAAAGGGUCCGUAGGCGGGCGAUUAAGUCAGUGGUGAAAGUCUGCAGCUCAACUGUAGAAUUGCCUUUGAUACUGGUUGUCUUGAGUUAUAGUGAAGUUGCCGGAAUAUGUAGUGUAGCGGUGAAAUGCAUAGAUAUUACAUAGAACACCGAUUGCGAAGGCAGGUGACUAACUGCAUACUGACUCUGAUGGACGAAAGCGUGGGGAGCGAACAGGAUUAGAAACCCCAGUAGUCC
rnacentral:rRNA from 1 species